GAACUCUGAUGCUUCGAUGCCGCGUGAGUGAAGAAGGCCUUUGGGUUGUAAAGCUCUUUUGUAGGGGAAGAUAAUGACUGUACCCUAAGAAUAAGGUCCGGCUAACUUCGUGCCAGCAGCCGCGGUAAUACGAAGGGACCUAGCGUAGUUCGGAAUUACUGGGCGUAAAGCGCGCGUAGGCCGUUGAGUUAGUUAAUUGUGAAAUCCCAAAGCUUAACUUUGGAACUGCAAUUAAAACUGCUCGACUAGAGUUUGAUAGAGGAAAGCGGAAUACAUAGUGUAGAGGUGAAAUUCGUAGAUAUUAUGUAGAACACCAGUUGCGAAGGCGGCUUUCUGGGUCAACACUGACGCUGAGGCGCGAAAGUAUGGGUAGCAAAGAGGAUUAGAUACCCUCGUAGUCCAUACCAUAAACGAUGAUUGCUAGAUGUCGGAAAUUUAUUUUCAGUAUCGCAGCUAACGCAUUAAGCAAUCCGCCUGGGGAGUACGAACGCAAGGUUCAAACUCAAAUGCAUUGACGGGGACCCGCACUAGCGGUGGAGCAUGUG
rnacentral:rRNA from 1 species